AUAGACUGCAAAAAGCUUGGACAAAAAGCACUGUUGCAACUGCUCGCUGAUGUCAACACAGCAGAGUGGAUUUUAUCUGAAGUGGUUCCCUGGUCUGGCUCACCAAGCAGCUACACACCACCAAUGCCAGGAAAAGGGAAAGGGAGAGAAGAAGUGUCCGUCCCUCCAAGCAGCACUGUGAACAUAUGCCAGAACUGUUCGUGGAGCUACAGCUGUGAUCCAAGAGCUGAAAGCCAGCCCUUCAAAACUGGGAAAUGGAAGCCAGCCUUCUAACUUUGUUUGCAGCACAUACACCAAUAUGUACACAGGCUCUUGAACAGCUUGGGAAUGAAGUUCCACUGAUGAUGAAUUAGAAUUAUGCCCCUGUUAGAAAAAAGGAUGACUUUUGUUGUACUUCCUGGAAGAAUUGUCAGCGGAAGUUGAAGAGCACUUAACAUACACCUUGUGGCCUUGAACACUAAUAAUUUCAACAUAGGGCUGACUGGGAAAUUGCUUUUCACUUCAAGAUCUUCAGCUUCCUCCCUCUUCUUUUGCCCAGACCCUGCUUUUGCUCACUCUGUGCAGGAGGAAGAGCAGCAGCUCCUCCUCUUCUGCUGCCCUGUUUCUCUUUCUCACCUGUCUGACAGAGAAGCCCCUUCUGCUCCCUUUGCUAAAGAAACAGCAUCGUCAGGAGACAGCGUUCAAUAGACUCCAUCUAAGGGACUGUGACCAGAAACACCUGCCCAGGACAGGAAUGAACUAAAUACCACAGAGGAAAGGGGACAAAAACACUGUGUGUUAAAAAAUUGUAUCACCUACACAACUUCAUGCACCAGGUCAAGAGUCAAUCACAUGUAGCUGGGUUUGAGAAGCUGCUUACAUACUGGGUAGUUUUCUCCAUAAUGGCCCAAUGGGGUUUUUUUCAACCUUUCUUUGCAACACCUGAUAUUACAAACUUUAAAGCACAGAUAUUUUUAAAAGGUCAAGAUAGAGAAUGGAUUUGAUCCAAGGAUCCCCAGCUUAGCAAUGCAAAAGUCAAGAGAACUCUAUCAAAUGUCAAGAGAAACCGGAAAAGACUUCAACAAAUUAUUUCUGCAAUACAUCUCAUUUAUGCAAUGUGUGUGCAACAGAAAUAUUUUAACCAGUUCUAAUCCAAUGAUAUUUUAUAAAUUUCAUCUUAUUUCAAACAGGUAAAGUAUGGACGAUGAGAAUUUUAUCAGCUAUGAUUUUUUAAUGAAUUUUUCACUAUUACCUAAAACUUUGAAAUCAAGACUGUCCUUCAAGAAAUAUAAUACAAAACUAUGACCUGUAUUACGUGGACCAUGAAAAUGAAAUCAGAAAUAAAACGCUGCAGCUCACUUAUAAUUCCAGUACAUUCUUCAUUUCAAUUUAAAGUAGAGUAUGUGUUCUCAGGAGAAUUCUGCAUAGACUGCCAUGCAUUCUCCUCACAGAAGUGUGAAAAGAUGAUGAUGGCUGUAGUAAUUUUUUUAUAUAUGAUUUUAGAAAAUCUUUGAAAAUAUGGGUUU